rnacentral:rRNA from 1 species
AUUGAACGCUGGCGGCAUGCCUUACACAUGCAAGUCGAACGGCAGCACGGGAGCAAUCCUGGUGGCGAGUGGCGAACGGGUGAGUAAUGUAUCGGAACGUGCCCAGUCGUGGGGGAUAACGUAGCGAAAGUUACGCUAAUACCGCAUACGAUCUUUGGAUGAAAGCGGGGGAUCGCAAGACCUCGCGCGAUUGGAGCGGCCGAUAUCAGAUUAGGUAGUUGGUGGGGUAAAGGCUCACCAAGCCGACGAUCUGUAGCUGGUCUGAGAGGACGACCAGCCACACUGGGACUGAGACACGGCCCAGACUCCUUCGGGAGGCAGCAGUGGGGAAUUUUGGACAAUGGGCGCAAGCCUGAUCCAGCAAUGCCGCGUGCAGGACGAAGGCCUUCGGGUUGUAAACUGCUUUUGUACGGAACGAAACGGUCCUCUUUAAUACAGAGGGCUAAUGACGGUACCGUAAGAAUAAGCACCGGCUAACUACGUGCCAGCCGCCGCAGUAAUAC